rnacentral:rRNA from 1 species
AUACGGAGGACGCGAGCGUUAUCCGGAUUCAUUGGGUUUAAAGGGUGCGCAGGCGGCCGUGCAAGUCAGCGGUGAAAGCCCGGGGCUCAACCCCGGAAGUGCCGUUGAUACUGCAUGGCUGGAAUGCGGUCGAGGCGGGCGGAACGUGGCGUGUAGCGGUGAAAAGCGUAGAUAUUCCACAGAACGCCGAUAGCGGAGGCAGCUCGCCAGGCCUGCAUUGACGCUCGGGCACGAAAGCGUGGGGAUCGAACAGGAUUAGAUACCCUGGUAGUCCACGCCGUAAACGAUGGGCGCUCGUCGUCGGCGGCAGACAGUCGGCGGCCAAGCGAAAGCGAUAAGCGCCCCACCUGGGGAGUACGGUCGCAAGGCUGAAACUUAAAGGAAUUGACGGGG